rnacentral:rRNA from 1 species
UACGUAGGGGCAAGCGUUAUCCGGAUUUACUGGGUGUAAAGGGAGUGUAGGUGGUCUGGCAAGUCAGAUGUGAAAGCCCGCGGCUCAACUGCGGGACUGCAUUUGAAACUGUCAGACUGGAGUGCAGGAGAGGAAAGUGGAAUUCCUAGUGUAGCGGUGAAAUGCGUAGAUAUUAGGAAGAACACCAGUGGCGAAGGCGGCUUUCUGGACUGUAACUGACACUGAGGCUCGAAAGCGUGGGGAGCAAACAGGAUUAGAUACCCG